UGAUAGGGGAGGGUCUGGGAGUCACCAGCCUUGUUCCUUUGUUUGAGACCAUGUGGACUUGCACCAGAUAAAGAUGCUUUUGUCGACUCUGUGGAUGCAAAGAUUAUGAAGAUGUGGGAGAGUUUGCUCUGGGAAUGAAAACAUUCCGUCUGCCUCCCACGUCACCGUGCACCAACCUGCGUCCUGCUCCCGCCACAUGACUGAGGAUAAUGACUCACCUGGAC